CCGGCCAGCGGAGUCAGACCUGGAGCUUCUUGGUGUGUGGGCGGGGUUUGUGUUGUCUGGUGAUUCGAAAUUGGCUGUUGGUGAAUGUGGGUAAGAAAGGUUGUUGGUCCUGUGAGAGACUGUACCACGUCUCUCACUCUAGGACAGCCGGGACAAACUUCAUCCCCGAACCGGAUAACGAGGAUGGACGGGUGGACAGGCGAACCUCUGUCUCAAAAAGUAUCGAAUGUGUCAAUAAAAAUAGUUAGAACUAUGUGUUAGAUCAAAAUUAGUACAAAGGCAACAUAUGAAAGGACAAAAUUGUGAAACCAAACAACAGCAGGAGAUUGAGCGGCUGUAACCACAGGGUUUUGGUCUGUACCGUCAACUGGAUGGAGCAUGUCUGCAGAGAAUGCCACUCAAGAAUGCAGAUUCAAGUGGCCCUGCGAAGAUGAGCGAAGGCUGUUCUGCACGGCGAUCGCCUCUAACACCGACAUCUUCCAUCUGAUAACGUCUUAUUAACCAAAGGUCACCAUCGACUGUGUCUCUACAUCCAACCCAGCUGAGGAGAACUUUGCUAGAUGUUGAGAUUUGGUGGAAAGAUGAAAGGUCAAAGUUGUCUUUUCUGGUUGUAUAAGGAAGUCAUUUCAACUCAAAAUUUAGUUGAACAGUGAAAGCACAUCUCUUCCUCCUGAACACCUCUGCACCUCUGACCAGCAGCUUCUUACGAGGAUAUGUUUUCACUGUCCAGAGGCUUAUUAUGAAUAAGAUCAGCAAAGGAGAAUCAUUUCCAUUUAGACGCCGCGUACACUGUUAUAUAGUAGGUAAUACUUGACUGUGUAAGUUGGUCAGAACUGCCAAUCAAGCGCAAUAAAAAAGAUAAAAGACAAGAA